AACGAACGCUGGCGGCAGGCUUAACACAUGCAAGUCGAGCGCCCCGCAAGGGGAGCAGCAGACGGGUGAGUAACGCGUGGGAAUCUACCCAUCUCUAUGGAAUAACGCAUGGAAACGUGUGCUAAUACCGUAUACGUCCUUCGGGAGAAAGAUUUAUCGGAGAUGGAUGAGCCCGCGUUGGAUUAGCUAGUUGGUGGGGUAAAGGCCUACCAAGGCGACGAUCCAUAGCUGGUCUGAGAGGAUGAUCAGCCACACUGGGACUGAGACACGGCCCAGACUCCUACGGGAGGCAGCAGUGGGGAAUAUUGGACAAUGGGCGCAAGCCUGAUCCAGCCAUGCCGCGUGAGUGAUGAAGGCCCUAGGGUUGUAAAGCUCUUUCACCGGUGAAGAUAAUGACGGUAACCGGAGAAGAAGCCCCGGCUAACUUCGUGCCAGCCGCCGCAGUAACAC
rnacentral:rRNA from 1 species